rnacentral:rRNA from 1 species
UUUAUCGGAGAGUUUGAUCCUGGCUCAGGACGAACGCUGGCGGCGUGCCUAAUACAUGCAAGUCGAGCGGACAGAUGGGAGCUUGCUCCCUGAUGUUAGCGGCGGACGGGUGAGUAACACGUGGGUAACCUGCCUGUAAGACUGGGAUAACUCCGGGAAACCGGGGCUAAUACCGGAUGGUUGUUUGAACCGCAUGGUUCAAACAUAAAAGGUGGCUUCGGCUACCACUUACAGAUGGACCCGCGGCGCAUUAGCUAGUUGGUGAGGUAACGGCUCACCAAGGCAA